AGUCGAACGAGAAUCUACUGAAAGAGUUUUCGGACAAUGGAUGUAGAGGAAAGUGGCGGACGGGUGAGUAACGCGUGAGGAACCUGCCUUGAAGAGGGGGACAACAGUUGGAAACGACUGCUAAUACCGCAUGACGCAUAGAGGUCGCAUGAUCUUUAUGCCAAAGAUUUAUCGCUUCAAGAUGGCCUCGCGUCUGAUUAGCUGGUUGGCGGGGUAACGGCCCACCAAGGCGACGAUCAGUAGCCGGACUGAGAGGUUGAACGGCCACAUUGGGACUGAGAUACGGCCCAGACUCCUACGGGAGGCAGCAGUGGGGAAUAUUGGGCAAUGGGCGCAAGCCUGACCCAGCAACGCCGCGUGAAGGAAGAAGGCUUUCGGGUUGUAAACUUCUUUUAAGAGGGAAGAGCAGAAGACGGUACCUCUAGAAUAAGCCACGGCUAACUACGUGCCAGCAGCCGCGGUAAUACGUAGGUGGCAAGCGUUGUCCGGAUUUACUGGGUGUAAAGGGCGUGCAGCCGGGUCUGCAAGUCAGAUGUGAAAUCCAUGGGCUCAACCCAUGAACUGCAUUUGAAACUGUAGAUCUUGAGUGUCGGAGGGGCAAUCGGAAUUCCUAGUGUAGCGGUGAAAUGCGUAGAUAUUAGGAGGAACACCAGUGGCGAAGGCGGAUUGCUGGACGAUAACUGACGGUGAGGCGCGAAAGUGUGGGGAGCAAACAGGAUUAGAUACCCUGGUAGUCCACACUGUAACGAUGAAUACUAGGUGUGCGGGGACUGACCCC
rnacentral:rRNA from 1 species